rnacentral:snoRNA from 1 species
UCCCUCUCAGGGUCACAACUGGAGAGUUUCCAGUGCUCUACCAGUCUCGAUUACGGGAGGGAGAGUCAAGCAGAGGCCUGUCCAUUCCAUUCCUAGCUUGACCAAUGGCUAGCGAGUGGAAGGCAAUCUGCUACAAGU